GGACAGUAUGGGAGUGAGAAUGUUGGCAUGAGUAGCGAGAUGUGGGUGAGAAUCCCACAGGCCGUAAACCCAAGGUUUCCAGGGGAAGGUUCGUCCGCCCUGGGUUAGUCGGGUCCUAAGCUGAGGCCGAAAGGCGUAGGUGAUGGACAACAGGUUGAUAUUCCUGUACUACCGAUAACCGGUUGAGAGAUGGGAUGACACAGUAGGAUAAGUUAAGCACACUGUUGGUUAUGUGUGCCCA
rnacentral:rRNA from 1 species